rnacentral:snRNA from 1 species
GGAGGUUCUGGGCCGAAGCCCGUA